UACGUAGGGUGCAAGCGUUAAUCGGAAUUACUGGGCGUAAAGCGUGCGCAGGCGGUUUUGUAAGUCUGACGUGAAAGCCCCGAGCUUAACUUGGGAAUUGCGCUUGUGACUGGCGUGCUGGAGUGUGGCAGAGGGAGGUGGAAUUCCACGUGUAGCAGUGAAAUGCGUAGAGAUGUGGAGGAACACCGAUGGCGAAGGCAGCCUCCUGGGCCAGCACUGACGCUCAUGCACGAAAGCGUGGGGAGCAAACAGG
rnacentral:rRNA from 1 species